rnacentral:rRNA from 1 species
GACGUUGGGAAAGCGAGCGGCGGAUGGGUGAGUAACACGUGGGGAACCUGCCCCUAAGUCUGGGAUACCAUUUGGAAACAGGUGCUAAUACCGGAUAAUAAAGCAGAUCGCAUGAUCAGCUUUUGAAAGGCGGCGUAAGCUGUCGCUAAGGGAUGGCCCCGCGGUGCAUUAGCUAGUUGGUAAGGUAACGGCUUACCAAGGCGACGAUGCAUAGCCGAGUUGAGAGACUGAUCGGCCACAUUGGGACUGAGACACGGCCCAAACUCCUACGGGAGGCAGCAGUAGGGAAUCUUCCACAAUGGACGCAAGUCUGAUGGAGCAACGCCGCGUGAGUGAAGAAGGUUUUCGGAUCGUAAAGCUCUGUUGUUGGUGAAGAAGGAUAGAGGUAGUAACUGGCCUUUAUUUGACGGUAAUCAACCAGAAAGUCACGGCUAACUACGUGCCAGCAGCCGCGGUAAUACGUAGGUGGCAAGCGUUGUCCGGAUUUAUUGGGCGUAAAGCGAGCGCAGGCGGAAAAAUAAGUCUAAUGUGAAAGCCCUCGGCUUAACCGAGGAACUGCAUCGGAAACUGUUUUUCUUGAGUGCAGAAGAGGAGAGUGGAACUCCAUGUGUAGCGGUGGAAUGCGUAGAUAUAUGGAAGAACACCAGUGGCGAAGGCGGCUCCCUGGUCUGCAACUGACGCUGAGGCUCGAAAGCAUGGGUAGCGAACAGGAUUAGAUACCCUGGUAGUCCAUGCCGUAAACGAUGAGUGCUAAGUGUUGGGAGGUUUCCGCCUCUCAGUGCUGCAGCUAACGCAUUAAGCACUCCGCCUGGGGAGUACGACCGCAAGGUUGAAACUCAAAGGAAUUGACGGGGGCCCGCACAAGCGGUGGAGCAUGUGGUUUAAUUCGAA